GUGACCCCAGGUCAGGUGGGAUUACCCGCUGAGUUUAAGCAUAUAAAUAAGCGGAGGAAAAGAAACUUACAAGGAUUCCCUUAGUAAUGACGAGCGAACCGAGAACCGCCCAGCCUUAGAAUCAGGUGGCUCCAUCGUUCGAAUUGUAGUUUGGUGAAGCGUCCUCAGCGGCGCACCGAGCCCAAGUCCCCUGGAAGAGGCGCUAGAGAGGGUGAGAGCCCCAUUAUGCCCGGACCCUGCCGCACCAUGAGGCACUGUCUAGGAGUCAGUGAAUGCAGCCCAAAUAGGGUGGUGAAUUCCGUCCAAGGCUAAAUACGGGCGACAGACCAAUAGCAAAAAAAUAUCGCGAGGGAAAGAUGAAAAGGACUUUGAAAAGAGAGUCAAAGAGUGCUUGACAUUAUCGGGAGGUAAGCGGAUAGGGGCCGGCGAUGCUCCUUGGUCAAAUGUGGAAUGGCGACGAGCUGGUCCGCCAAUCGACUCGGGGCAUAGACCAGUGUGAAUUAGGGGCGGCCAAUGAUCGGGCUCUCGAUACGCUUGUGAAACACCAUCUCCUCGAUUGUGGAUGGCAGUGCGCACCUCCGGCGUGCUUUGGCAUCUUCACGCUAUGGACGCUGGCCUGUGGGCUCCCCAUUUGACCCAUCUUGAUAAACGGACCAAGGAGUUUGACUUGUGUGUGAGUCAACGGGCGAGUAAAUCUAUAAGGCAUAAGGAAGUAGAUUGGUAGUAUCCACCCAAGAGGUGCACCGUCGACUGACCUUGAUCUUCUAAGAAGGGUUCGAGUGUGAGCAUACCUGUUGGGACCCGAAAGAUGGUAAACUAUGCCUGAGCGGGGUGAAGCCAGAGAAAACUCUAGUGGAGGCCUGCAGCGAUACUGAUGUGCAAAUCGUAUGGCUGACUUGGGUAUAGGGCCCGCGGAUGCUUUGUCGAGCCAUGCCACGAAAUCAAGAGCUCCAAUUGGGCCAUUUUUGGUAAUCAUAACUGGCGAUGCGGGAUGAACCAAAAGCCAGGUUACGGUGCCAAACUACGCGCUAACCUAGAUCUCACAAAGGGUGUUGGUCUAUUAAGACAGAAGGAUGGUGGUUAUGGAAGUCAAAAUCCUCUAAGGAGUGUGUAACAACUCACUUUCCGAAUAAAUUAGCCCCGAAAAUAGAUGGCGCUUAAGCGCGCAACCUACACCCCGCCGUCGGGGAAAGUUCCAGGCCCCGAUGAGUAGGAGGGUGCAGCGGUCGCUGUAAAACCUUGGGCACUAGCCCUGGUAGAGCGGCCGUCAGUGCAGAUAUUAGUGGUAGUAGCAAAUAUUCAAAUGAGAACUUUGAAGGCCAAAGAGGGGAAAAGUUCCAUGUGAACGGCACUUGCACAUGGAUUAGUCGAUCCUAAGGAUUGGGGGAACCCCGAUAGAUAGCGCGUUUUACGCAUACUCGAAAGGGAAUUGGGUUAAAAUUCCUGGACCGAGAUGUGGUGAUCUACGGCAAUGGUAGGAAGUCCAGAUACGUCGGCGAGAGCCUCAGGAAGAGUUAUGUUUUCUAUUUAACAGCUUGCCCACCCUGGAAUCAGCUCGGCCGGAGAUAGGGUCCUGCGGCUGGAAGAGCACUGCACGUCGUAUGGGGUCCGGUGCACUAGCGGUGGCCCUUGAAAAUCCAGAGGAACAAAUACCGUCCAUGCCCGGCCGUACUCAUAAGCACAUCAGGUCUCCAAGGGGAACAGCCUCUGGUCGAUGGAACAAUGUAGGUAAGGGAAGUCGAAAAAUGGAUCUGCAACUUUCGGAAAAGGAUUGGAACUGAGGGUUGGGCAUGGGGAUCCUUGUCCCGAACCCGUCAGCUGUCAAUGGACUACUCGAGAUGCUCCCACAGAAAGAGUGGGUCAACGCAUGCCGGUCUGGGGACAGACUGGGAACGGUUCCUUCGGGGGCCUUCCCCACGCGUCGAACAGCAAACUCAGAACUGGUAUGGACAAGGGGAAUCUGACUGUUUAAUUAAAACAAAGCAUUGUGAUGGUCUCAAUGGAUGUUCACAGAUUGUGAUUUCUGCCCAGUGUUCUGAAUGCCAAAGUGAACAAAUUCAACCAAGCGCGGGUAAACGGCAAGAGUAACUAUGACUCUCUUAAGGUAACCAAAUGCCUCGUCAUCUAAUUAGUAACGUACAUAAAUGUAUUAACGAGAUACCAACUGUCCCUGUCUACUAUCCAGCGAAACCACAGCCAAGGGAACGGGCUUGGCAGAAUCAGUGAGGAAAGAAGACCCUCUAGAGCUUGACUCUACUUUAACUUUGUGAAAUGACUUGAGAGGUGUAGUAUAAGUGGGAGCCGAAAGGCGAAAGUGAAAUACCACUACUUUUAAUGUUAUUUUACUUAUUCCAUGAAUCAAAAGCGGGGCAUUGCCCCUUCUUUUGGACCCAAGGCUCGCUCUGCAGGCCGAUCUGGCCGGAAGACAUUGUCAGGUGGGUAGUUUGGCUGGGGUUGCACAUCUUUUAAAAGAUAACGCAGGUGUCCUAAGAUGAGUUCAACGAGAACAAAAAUAUUGUGUGGAACAGAAGGGUAAAAGGUCGUUUGAUUCAGAUUUCCAGUACGAAUAUGAACCUUGAAAGCGUGGCCUAACGAUCCUUUAGACCUUCGAAAUUUGAAGCUAAAGGUGUCAGAAAAGUGUUACCACAUGGAUAAUUGGCCUUUUGCAUGCAAGCAUUCAUAGCAAUGUUGUUUUUUUAUCCAUUGAUGUCGGCUCUUCCUAGCAUUGUGAAGCAGAAUUCACCAAGUGUUGGACUUUUCACCCACCAAUAGGGAACGUGAGCUAGGUUUAGACCAUCGUGAGACAGGUUAGGUUUACCCUACUUAUGACAGUGUCGUAGUAGUAAUUCAGCCUAGUAAGAAAGGAAACGUUGAUUCGCACAAUUUGUCAUCGUGCUUGGUUGUAAAGACAGUGGCACAAAGCUACUGUGUGCUGGAUUAUGAAUGAAUGCCUCUAAGUCAGAAUCUGGGCUAGAAGUGACGCAUGCGCCCGUUGUUCGCUUGCCGACCCGCAGUAGAGGCCUCGGCCCCCAAGGGCACGUGUCGUUUGCUAAGCCACCACGGCGGAAGAGUCGUGGUAGCCACCUUAAAGUAUAAUUUCCAUCGAGCGGUGGGUUGAAUCCUUUACAGAGACUUAAAUAUGCGAUGGGGUAUUGUAAGUAGAAGAGUGGACUUGCUUCCAUGAUCCACUGAGAUUCAUCCCUUUGUUGCUAUGGUUCGU
rnacentral:rRNA from 1 species